GGAGGUCCGAACCGACUAAUGUUGAAAAAUUAGCGGAUGACUUGUGGCUGGGGGUGAAAGGCCAAUCAAACCGGGAGAUAGCUGGUUCUCCCCGAAAUCUAUUUAGGUAGAGCCUCGGACGAAUACCAUUGGGGGUAGAGCACUGUUUCGGCUAGGGGGUCAUCCCGACUUACCAAACCGAUGCAAACUCCGAAUACCAAUGAGUAUGAGCAUGGGAGACAGACUGCGGGUGCUAACGUCCGUAGUCGAGAGGGAAACAACCCAGACCG
rnacentral:rRNA from 1 species